rnacentral:lncRNA from 1 species
AAAACCUUGCUGUCCUGUUCAAAUGGCUAGAGAGAAAUCUGUGAAGGAGGUCGCUUUACAGUACUUUUCAUUAUCAUAUACGGAGUAUAUGACUGACUAUUUAGUGCUCUUAAAGUCUCAAAGUCGAUCUUGCUCAGAGGAACUUUAAUUUCUACUAUCAUGUACUACCUCUGUUCUGAAAUAGUUGUCGCCAAAGAAAACCAGUUCAAGUUCUGUUACACUACGUUUUUUUGCACUUUUCCGUUUUACCCUCGCGUCGACCACACUCCCCGCCGCUCACUCCUCGCUCUCUCUUCUCCCCGUCGCCUCACUUCUGGCACCUUACCCACCUCGCGAUAACCACCACGUCGCUUACCGUCUCUCCCCAUCCGCCACCAUCUUUCUCCCGCCUCCACUCACACCCUUGUCCACUCGCAUCCUGCUCCACUCACACCCCGCAUAUGAGGUCAAAGCUUGGAGUUUUGCUCCGACAGCGAGCUUCCGGGCGACGGAGGUGCUCGAUCUGCGUGCAUAGCUACUUGAUCUACGGGCGCUUGCUCUCGAUCCGGCGACAGAGGUUGGUCCUAGAUGGCGAUGAGGAUGCCCUGGCCGUCACGACCAAGGAGGCGUGACACUGUGCGGGAGAUGGAGACGAGGCCGUUGCGGUGGUGGGGUUGGACUUCGUGGCCUGAGAUGAGGGGGCCAUUGGCGUCACGGUGGAGGCAGUGUGGCGCCGUAGCGGCCAAGGGCUAGUCUGCCUUUCCUGCCGCUGGAGGGAGACAACAACAGGGGACCGGAGAGGAGGAGGCGCACGCGUCCGGGACGGUGUCCGUUGUGUUCUCUAGCCGUACGUUGACGCUGGUGUCCACUACGGUAAGUGCACGACUAUAUGGUCCUUCGUCACUCUUGUCAAUCUCCUCUACAUAGCAUCAAACCACUUUAGUACUAACUUUGGAUCUUAAGAUCAAACCAAGCAAACUUUGAGUAAUUUAUGCACUGGCUAAUUUGUCAACUUGAGGACAGCGGAGGGGUGGAGAAGCCCUGGGUGCUCGUCGAAAAGGGCAAUUGGCCGGAUCCGGAGCUCCGGUGCUGGGAGGUGGAGGCACGAGGAGGGCGCCGCGGUGCGUUGGUGUUGUUGUCCAGUGCACGGAAGAGCACAAGCGGUGCAUCGAGCAGCUAAGAUGCGGUCCUAUCCUUAUUUUAGUGCGAGGGACUCGACGGGGAUAGAAACACGUCUCGUCGUUUCGCAAGAAUGGAUAUCAUUACAAGUACAUGUAUUGAAAAGAUGAGUAUAAUAAGUUGGCUUAUACUCGCCACAAGCUACAUCAGAGUCACAUCAGUACAAUACAUACAAUCAUCAUGAAGCAGAGCAGGUUCGUCUAUGGACGAAAAGAAACGAUAAAAGAACGACGUCCAUCCUUCCUAUCCCAGGUUGCCGGCCUGGAACCCAUCCUAGAUCGAAACUCCAAAUAGCAUAAUCAGCGAGCUCACGUCAAAGUAACUCUUUACCUGUACCUGCAACUGGUGUUGUAGUAAUCUGUGAGCCACAUAGGACUCAACAAUCUCAUUUCCAAAGGUAUCAAGACUAGCAAAGCUUAAUGGGUGAGGUAAGGUUGAGUGGUGAGGCUGCAACAAGCAAC